AUGGGGAAACGCUAGAGAGAAAAGGUAUGUUUUGAGCUGGGAUUUAAAAGAGUCACCUGAAGGGGCGAAUCUGAUGGAGAAACCAUGAAGAUU